AGAAAGCUCUUCUAGCUAGCAGAGAAUAGCUUGAGAAACUGGGUUUGAAGAAAGAGCGCACUCAUCUUGGAGUUAUUAUUCUUUGUUUGUUGAUCGAUCACCUUCAAGACUUCGAACGUUUUCAUUUGUAGGAGAAUAACAGUUAACUCCGAACAACGUAGGCACUUCAAAACAGCAAUGAGAAGAGAAACUAAAACCGGAAUUUUUCUGAGCAUUGUCUUAUGUUUCUUUGUGGCAAUAUCAGCUGAAGAAGAUCUUAGAAAAUUUUUAGAAGAAAUAACCGAGAAGAGGAAAACACUCUCCUACAUAAAAAGUUUGAUUAAUAAACUGGACAACAACUUCGUGAUGCUUAAAAAACGAACUUGUAAAAUGAAUGCAGGAAUGACCCACGGUUGCGACUACACUGAAUUCCUUAAGGCUCAACAAGACCAUGAAUUCUGGGCCAACAGGUUUUCACCUGGUAGACGUCGAAGGUCCGUGUAAGAUUAAUUAACAUUUAAGGGAAUUUUCUUUCCUUUUGAAGACGAAGAGGAUGUGAUUUGUAUACUUUAAGAGCAUCUAAUUGCAGUUAUAUAUUUCAAAUUACAUUUCUUUUUUAGGUUCUUCAUUCAAGUAUUGCUAAACUUAGGAAAAAAAAUAGUUUUUGUGAUUUAUGUAUUUUCGACAAUCUGUAUGUCAAAACUUGGAUUGAAAUAUAUUAUCUCAAAAUAUUUACGUUUUCAUAGUUACAAAAGUACUUCAGUAAAAUAAACAAUUUCAUUUUUCCUACUUCACCCAGAAGUCCAAAUUUAGUUCCAGCAACCAAACCUGUAUGUGUCAUCUAAAUCUAUACUUUAUAGAUAGGAGUUAGCAUUCGUUUAUAGCCUGUGCAAGUGACAGUGUUUCGUAUGCUAGGAAUGAGUAAUAAUAGUAACGUUAAUGUUACAAAAUCCAAGAACAAAUACAUUCACCGAAUUGUCACUAGUUGAAAAGAUUGAUGAAGGAUUAUUUAGAAUAGAGAAAAAUGUAUUAUAGCGUUUUUCAUUUAAUUUAUCUUUAUUUUUAAAAGAACUGAUUUCUGUUAUUAAUUGCUAAUUUAAUGGCUUGACGCACAACUUUUUCUAGUUCAAAACUGACUUAAAUAUACGCUAAACUCGAUACUGACGUUAGUGAUAUUGUCUUAGCCAUCUUUUCGUAAUUUUAAUUAAUUAUUAAUUUUUAUGUUUAUUAUGCUAAUUGCUCUGAUAAAAACUUGAUUUUUUAUUCUUUACCCAUCAUCUCCCUGAAACAGACUUCUACAACAGAAACUCAGUUAGUCAUGAGUAGUGGUUCAAUAGCAGCCCGGUGACAUCGUACCUGGUAAGGAUGAGAAGUUCUAUAAUUCGCGCCCUAUUAUCACCAAAAUAUAAUCACGCUUCGCAUUUUGGGGCCGUGGUUGUGUUUUAAAAGUGAUGAUCCAAUCCCACUAUUCAAAUAGAACAACCCACGAUUUGAUGUUGCUUGUGUUUUAAAAGUGAUGAUCCAAUCCCACUAUUCAAAUAGAACAACCCACGAUUUGAUGUUGCGUAAGGGCUUUCGUUCUAGCCUAUCACUUCAAAAUUAGGUUAGUGCAGAUAGCACUCGAGUAGCAUUGCACAAUAAACAAAACAACUUGGUUUUAUAUUGUGAGAUGAACCUUUAUUUAAUACAGUAUUUAAAUUCAUGGACGACAGUAUUUUGGUUUAUUUACAUACUUUUAAUAUAUAUGAUCUAGAUGUAUUAUCAUUUUACUUUUCCCAUUUCGUUACUUUAAUGUCACGAUAAGAGGCUGAAACUAACCACCAUAGCAUUUUACUGUAACCACCUAAGGCUGAAACUAACCACCAUAGCAUUUUACUGUAACCACCUAAGUUUCUUUCUCAAAAGAUGUUGUAUAAGGAAUAUAAAGAAUAUUAAGUUUCUAUUGAUUAUUUAAUAACAAUGACGUUACUCCAACGUGUUUGAGUAACACUGUUUGAUUUGGAGACACUAUUUUGGGCUAGUUGUGUAAUAAAAUGUUUUGUG